AACAUAAUAAAAGGUAAAAGUCAAUGCCUCACAACCAUUUAAAGAAAAUUACAAGUUCCAAAUCAAUACCUAUAACCAUAAAUUAGACAAUUAAAACUAUAUAAAUCACCAGGCAAACCAUAAAACAUUAAAACAUUUAGUUAAAUCCCAUGGGUAGAAUGGAACUAUUCUAAUUAUGACAGGAUUGGGGCUAAGUAAUAGUUAAAAGGAGGAGGAAGAGGAAAAUGAGUAAGAAGAACAGAGAAGCAUAAAGCAAAGCGGGAGAAGGAAGCAGAACAGGAAGAAGGUGAGGGCAUUGCUAAAUUUCACACUUCCUGUUUAUGUUGAGAUUCACAAACUACGCUAUUUGUUUGUAACAUUAUAUCACUCUUUUCUUCCAGGGAGCCCAAAGUCGUUUCAAGGAUCUUUGCUUCCCAAUUUAUCCUUACAACAACCCUGUGAGGAAGGUCAGGCUUCUGUGACCACUGGCGAAGCUCCAGGAAGCAGGUUGUAUUGGUACAGAGGAGAGCAGAAGUAUUGCUUUAUCAUACUGUAAAUGUCAUGACAGAAUGGGGAUCUGAUCUCUUUGGCACUCUUUUAAUAUUGUUUUAAUAUUUUUGUGACCUUGAUGUAUCUCAGAGGUGGAGGAACAUGUGGUUGUUUUAAGACUUGGGCUGCAAUUCUUAUUUUCCCUUGCUAUUGGGAAUGCUGGUUAGAGUUGCUCUCCAACAACAUCUGAAAGAUUAUAUUCCCCAACUCUGAUGCACUCCCUCGGUUCUUAUUAUCAGCCCAGGGAGAAGGCUGAAGAUGAAGCAAAGGUGGCAGGAAACCACUAUGGAAAGGGGCAGAAAUGUUGCGGGUUACUGCGGUGUAUUGCGGGUUACUGUGGUGUAGGCAAUGGUUUCAAAAUGGACAAAAUAGGGUUUAUUUUGGGUUAAUGCCAGGCAUGAGCAAACUUUGGCCCUCCAGGUGUUUUGAACUUCAACUCCCAGAAAUCUCAGCCAGCUUACCAACUGUUAGGAAUUGUGGGAGUUGAAGUCCAAAACACCUGGAGGGCCAAAGUUUGUCCAUGCAUGGGUUAACCUAUCAUUGGCAGAUAUUGCAGCUCCUUUUUAAAGUUUAGGGUUUUUAAAUGAAAAAUGGGUUGCAAAAUUAGAUGGCUAAAUGCAGCUAAGUGGUGUUCAUUAUUUACUGUCUUGAUAUUUGCUGUCUUGAUUCUGGUGUUUAAUAAAAAGGAGGAAACCAUGAAAAUGAACAAAAUCUGGUUACCAGUAUUUUAAAAAACACCAGAAUCAAGAAUCAAGUAAAUAAUGAUCACCAUUCAGAAAUUCCAGACAAUAAGCAAUUAAGGACCAGUUAACACCUCCCAAACAGAGGAUGCCUCCAGGCAACAGAGGACAGGCUACCUCUAUACAGAUACCCUCACCUAUCGCUUUAUUUGUUUUGAUGUUGGGAGUAGACAUCAUGCCAUCAGUUAACAUUGAUUAAUACUGCUGCUAUGGCACUGGAAAGAUCCAUCAUGUUGUAUAGAGAUAUUUGCAGAAAACUCUUCAUGGUAAAUCACAGGGUAAUGUUUUGCAUCAGGAACAAAGCUUUCUUAUAUAUUGCCGAACAAGUGUAAUUUUCCUCUUAUUGCUACUUAGUACAGCAUUCUAAUGUGUAAUUUAUUACAUAGUUUCCAGAAGAAAAGAGUGAUAAAUUGAGUGCUGUCAGAUCUUGUGGGAGAACAAGAGAUUUCUACCAAUCCCUUCCAGUUCAAAGUUAUACCUGUAAGAGCCAAUAUGGAUCCUAGAAAGAAGAAGCAUCCUAAUAAUAACAAGGAUUCAGUUAGAAAAAGGACCAGUGAUGGAAAUAUCAUUCCUUUUCUGAAGCCCACAGCAGAGACGGAGAGAGAGAAUCCCAUUUGGAAGGACAACAGCACUGGCCCUCCCAACAGAAGACAUAGACAAAUCAUGGAAGGAAGGAAAAGGUGCUGUAAUGAAAGCUCUGAGCCCAGUUCAAGUAUCAAAAGAUCGAAAACAGGGCAUCCUGGGACAGAAAUUGUGAAUCAUCCUGAAAGAAAGGCUUCAACAAAUAUUGAGAAGACAACAGAUGAAGAGCGACAGUUCA